CCACCCCCACAUACAGUAGUGUGUGUUUAACUACCCACCCCCACAUACAGUAGUGUGUGUGUUUCAUUACCCACCCCCACAUACAGUAGUGUGUGUGUUUCAUUACCCACCCCCCAUAUACAGUAGUGUGUAUGUUUAAUUACCCACCCCCCAUACACAGUAGUGUGUAUGUUUAAUUACCCACCCCCCAUACACAGUAGUGUGUGUGUUUAAUUACCCACCCCCAUAUACAGUAGUGUGUAUGUUUAAUUACCCACCCCCCAUAUACAGUAGUGUGUGUGUUUAAUUACCCACCCCCCAUAUACAGUAGUGUGUGUGUUUAAUUACCCACCCCCCAUAUACAGUAGUGUGUGUGUUUAAUUACCCACCCCCCAUACACAGUAGUGUGUGUGUUUAAUUACCCACCCCCCAUAUACAGUAGUGUGUGUGUUUAAUUACCC
rnacentral:lncRNA from 1 species